CUGGGCCUCUCACACACGCAACAUCUCUCGUUUUGUCUCCCCACUCACCGUCUAGGGUUGGCGCCGCCGCCGCCGCCGACGACCUGCCGCCCCAGCGCUCCUCCCACGCUGGCCACCGAUGGAAUGCCCGCUUCUCCCCCUGGUCUUCUGGCAUCCUCGUAGCAAGCUACGGCGCUGCUCCUCCCUACGACACCGAUGGCAAGGCGGCGACAACCCUGCCAUCUUUCAUCGGUGAUGCUCCUCCCCGCGGGCCGCGGCAAGGCGUGUUGAUCUCGUAGUUCCUGGACGUGGGGAAGGUUGGCGCACAGGUACAAUGAGACGACGAUUCGGAAGGCUAGGUGAGCAUUAUGUUUGGUUUUUGGUGGUUGGUCUGUUGAUAACGAGAUUUAAGGUUUGGUGCUGUGAUUAGAAAAUUAUCCGAACGAGAGAAGGAAGAAGGAUUUUUCAGCAGCUAUUGAAGGUGCGAGCUAUUGCCAUGGAAAGGGUGUCUACCACUGAGACCUUAAGAUACUGACGACCGAAGCUUCUUUUUUCUUUUGAAGCAGUCCGGGCAUACGAUUAUCUAUCAUUAUUAUUUUCCAUGUAUCAUGUACUUCGCGAGAUAGCCAGUAUGGCUUGAUUGCUGUGUCUCUUUUCUUCCUGACUUAUCCCAAUAUUACAUGUUACAACCAAAAAACGUUCUUAUUGACCGGGAAGGCAACAUCAAAAUCUCUGAUUUUGGUCUCAGUGCUUUACCUCAACAUCUUGGGGUAUGAUAGACUUAUCGGUGAUUUCAUUGUAUUGAGCAUUAUAUUUUUAUUGAUUUUUAAACGAGGAUAUUUUAAUUUAAUUGAAUUUAAGAUCUGCAACUUUUCAAAAUGACGGAUUGCUGCAUACAACCUGUGGUAGCCCCAACUAUAUUGCACCUAAGGUUCUGCAGAACAGAGGAGAUUACAGAUCACUGUCGGGUAUCUAAUCUUGUGGAGUAACUAUUUACAUAACGCUCGUAGGACACCUUCCAUUUGAUGAUCGAAUUAAGGUUGUUCUUUAUCAGAAGAUUUCAAAGGGUGAUGCUCAGAUUGCGGAGUGGCUUUCGCCAAAAAGCUCUGAUCGGCUUUUCAUGCACUAGCUCAUCAAUUGCCACUUCGAAUCUGUUGUAUAAGUGCUUAUAUUUUCUCAUGCCCUCAACUACUAUUUUAGCUUCAGUAUGCUCUGAGUAUAAGUAUAGCCGCUACAAUGGUCAGUACCAAGGGUGAGUGCCUCCACGUUUGAAGAUGAUCUCACACAGUGGCGGAGCUAGGAAGAAAAAACUGGGCGGGCCAUCCUAGAGGGCAACACAAAAAUAAUAUUUCUGAACUACACUAAUUCAACAUGCAUUAGCUGAUUACAUGUGCUUGUGCAAUGCUGGUUGCUAGCUAGAGUAAUAAUAUUUAAUGUUUAGCAGAUAAUACAAUCCCUAGCUGCAUGUGAGAUUGACCUGGUUCAGGGCUAGCUAGCUAGCUACUAUCCUAGCUGACAGAGUAGCGCUGGAGCAAAGGAAAUGCAGUGUUGCAUGCGAGGACAAGAGCGACCCGGCGUUUUUUGCUAGUGACGAUGCAGUGUUGGACUGCACAUUUUCUUUCUUUUCUUCAGACAAUGUUGGACUGCACAUGUGUAGUAGUAUAAGAUUUUCCUGGAGGGCAGGGCGGGCCACGGCCUGCUUUUGCCCUCACGUAGCUCCGCCAGUGAUCUCACAGGUGCCUAUAACUAUGCUUCUUUUAAUUGGUAAAAAGAAACUAUGCUUCUUUUAUUCUCUUGGUUGAAUGUUAAACAAGAAAAAGAAUAGUAUCUGUGUCGCCUUGAUAGGCACACACAUUAUUUAUUUCGUGCAAGUUCUCUUAUGUGAGAUUCUUACUGUAGUAUUUUCCAAAAUACCACGCACUGAAUAUUCUGACCAUUAAUUCUUACUAAUAAUAGGCUUCUUGGGAAAAAAUGGGAAAUGAAUAUAUAACAAGGCGUGUGUUGUGCCAACUGGUCGCUCCCCCCCCUCCCCCCUGCAUCUUGAUUGUAGUUCGAUCUGAGCCUCAACUGGUCGAGUGUUGUGCCAACUGAACGAUCGAUAUAUUGUUAAAAGAAUGAAAGUAUGCCCUGCCUGAAGAUUUUAGCUUUCUUUUCGUUAAGAAGCUCUAAUGAUUUGGAUGACUACUCUCAAGGGAUUUGGCCUGCUUUAUGGUCAUUGAUUAACAAGGUUUUCAGUUGUAUAUGCAUGUGUGACAAGAAAAAAGCCGAAGGGGCGCCUCCCACCUGGCACCGCCCAGCUUCCUCUUAAGCGGCGCCACCGGGUGGCGCCCCAACCGCUAGUUCUUUUUAUUUCGUGCCCGCCUAGUUCAUGUGGAGCUGCUUUUGGGAAGUCUAGGACAAUGAUUGGUACCCAACCUCCUUCCCGAAUGGCACCAGUUGAUGAUAAUUGCACUGGCCAGGGCCACGAACUCGAUUUGCAAACUCAGUGGAUUCUUGCAACUUUGGAAGCCUCUCUCCAAGCGACAGGACAAGGUGGCCAUUGACAGAUUGACGAGGAAGCACACGGACGUGGCGACUAGACUUCUCAUGAUCAUUUAUCCCCCUCGAGGCUAUAUUAUGCACUUCACGUUUGUGGGCUUGUUGAGCUGUUGCGCCCAGCUUGUGCCGUACCUUUUUAUUUUCUUUUCUUUGUUUCCGUGGACCUCUGUUUUGCAGUUGAUUGUUGUGCUUCUGUUGUGGUUGCCUUAUAUAUAAAGGGGGACAUUGCACAA